rnacentral:rRNA from 1 species
CCUACGGGAGGCAGCAGUGAGGAAUAUUGGUCAAUGGACGAGAGUCUGAACCAGCCAAGCAGCGUGAAGGAUGACUGCCCUAUGGGUUGUAAACUUCUUUUAUAUGGGAAUAAAAUGUUCCACGUGUGGGAUUUUGUAUGUACCAUAUGAAUAAGGAUCGGCUAACUCCGUGCCAGCCGCCGCGGUAAUACGGAGGAUCCGAGCGUUAUCCGGAUUUAUUGGGUUUAAAGGGAGCGUAGGUGGAUUGUUAAGUCAGUUGUGAAAGUUUGCGGCUCAACCGUAAAAUUGCAGUUGAAACUGGCAGUCUUGAGUACAGUAGAGGUGGGCGGAAUUCGUGGUGUAGCGGUGAAAUGCUUAGAGAUCACGAAGAACUCCGAUUGCGAAGGCAGCUCACUGGACUGCAACUGACACUGAGGCUCGAAAGUGUGGGUAUCAAACAGGAUUAGAUACCCGAGUAGUC